GAACCUGUGAAAGGAUCAUUGCCGAGACCCA
rnacentral:rRNA from 1 species